CCCGGUUGGAACUAAGCAUAUCAAUAAGCGGAGGAAAAGAAACCAACAGGGAUUGCCUUAGUAACGGCGAGUGAAGCGGCAAAAGCUCAAAUUUGAAAUCUAGCACUUUUGGUGUUCGAGUUGUACUUUGAAGAGGCAUCUUCUGGAGGGACCCAGCCUAUGUGCCUUGGAACAGGACGUCAUAGAGGGUGAGAAUCCCGUCCUUGGCUGGAUGUUUCCUCCUGUAUGUAGUGUCUUCUACGAGUCGAGUUGUUUGGGAAUGCAGCUCAAAAUGGGUGGUAAAUUUCAUCUAAAGCUAAAUACUGGCGAGAGACCGAUAGCGCACAAGUAGAGUGAUCGAAAGAUGAAAAGCACUUUGAAAAUAGAGUCAAACAGUACGUGAAAUUGUUGAAAGGGAAGCGCUUGAGACCAGAGUCAGCCUUUGGCAAACAACUGUCCUUCUGGGCGGUGCACUUGUCAUUGGUUGGGCCAGCAUCGGUUGGGACGGUGGGAUAAAGGCCAGGGGAAUGUGACUCCUUCGUGGAGUGUUAUAGCCUCAGGUGCCAUGCUGUCUGUCCCGACCGUGGACCGCGCCUCGGCUCGGAUGUUGGCUUAAUGGUCUUCAGCGACCCGUCUUGAAACACGGACCAAGGAGUCUAACGUCUAUGCAAGUGUUUGGGCUUCAAACCCUCACGCGUAAUGAAAGUAAACGGAGGUGGGAAUCCUGUAAGGGGUGCACCAUCGACCGAUCCUGAUGUCUUCGGAUGGAUUUGAGUAGGAGCAUAGCUGUUGGGACCCGAAAGAUGGUGAACUAUGCCUGAAUAGGGUGAAGCCAGAGGAAACUCUGGUGGAGGCUCGCAGCGGUUCUGACGUGCAAAUCGAUCGUCAAAUUUGGGUAUAGGGGCGAAAGACUAAUCGAACCAUCUAGUAGCUGGUUCCUGCCGAAUUUUCUCCCUCAGGA
rnacentral:rRNA from 1 species